AGCUUUGCGCAGUGGCAAUAUCGUAACCGAUGAGGGUCUCCCGAGGUGCGAUUAUUGCUAGUUGAAAACUUUAACCAAUACCCCGCCACGAUGGAGUGAAAUAUUCUUCGUCGUCGGCAAUUUUUGAAGGUCCCCAAAGGGA